rnacentral:rRNA from 1 species
GGAGAAAUUCCAAUCGAACUUGGAGAUAGCUGGUUCUCUCCGAAAUAGCUUUAGGGCUAGCCUCGAGGUAAAGAGUCAUGGAGGUAGAGCACUGUUUGGACUAGGGGCCCUUCUCGGGUUACCGAAUUCAGAUAAACUCCGAAUGCCAUGUACUUAUACUCGGGAGUCAGACUGCGAGUGAUAAGAUCCGUAGUCGAAAGGGAAACAGCCCAGACCACCAGUUAAGGUCCCCAAAUAUAUGUUAAGUGGAAAAGGAUGUGGGGUUGCUUAGACAACCAGGAUGUUGGCUUAGAAGCAGCCACCAUUGAAAGAGUGCGUAAUAGCUCACUGGUCGAGUGACCCCGCGCCGAAAAUGUACCGGGGCUAAACAUAUUACCGAAACUGUG